AGCCCUUUUUUGGUCCGAUGCUUACUUGGCAAAGGAUGUCUCCUGUUUCGGGGCGAUUGUCCUCCGUCUAUCAGAUGCAGCAGUCAGGGGAGGGUAACUUUGAGACAAUUAUUCUGCUGGGGUUGGUGUUAGCAGGCUGCUGGCUCGUAAUACGUUCAUGACAAAAAUCUGUUUACUGUGCAUUUUGAAGCCACUGAUAAUGAAUUAAAACAUGUCUUCAGGAAAACAGGAUAAAUAAAGCAUAUUAGUUCCAACUAAUGUCCUGCAGUUUAAAAAGAAAUUUAAUUUAUGUACUGUCGAUUACCACUACAUUAGAAAAAACAGCGUUUUUGGGUAUUCCCUCCUCAGCUCUGAACAGGACCGUCUGGAUGACUUAAGCUCUACAGGCCCGAGGACAGUUAUGUGUAUUUAAUUUGUACGCUUGAACUUUUCCUUUUUAAGCCCCGGUGACCGGAUGGAGAGUGGCAGAGAAAUGAAAAGCAGCAGCUACCUUCAAUGCGGCAUUACCACUGAAAAGGUGGAGCCAUACCUCUGAGCCUGUUUGGGUAACUUAUUGGAGUAGGGUGGUUUCCCUGUUCUUCUAUAUGUGGGCGCUGAUCAGUCAUCACACGGUCUCAGAAAAAAUAAAGUCUCCACUCCGACAGUCACUCUGAUUUUGGCAGACCGAUUCUUUCCAGCACAGCAUCUUUUGCUACUUUC